rnacentral:sRNA from 1 species
AUUUUGCUAGAUUCACAGGGACACAUUGUCCUUACUGACUUCGGACUCUGCAAGGAGAACAUUGAACACAACAGCACAACAUCCACCUUCUGUGGCACGCCGGAGUAUCUCGCACCUGAGGUGCUUCAUAAGCAGCCUUAUGACAGGACCGUGGACUGGUGGUGCCUGGGAGCCGUCUUGUAUGAGAUGCUGUAUGGCCUGCCUCCUUUUUAUAGCCGAAACACAGCUGAAAUGUAUGACAACAUUCUGAACAAGCCCCUCCAGUUGAAACCAAAUAUUACAAAUUCCGCAAGACACCUCCUGGAGGGCCUCCUGCAGAAGGACAGGACAAAGCGGCUCGGGGCCAAGGAUGACUUUGUGAGUGAUGUUUUCCUGUUCUCCUGGGCCAGCUGGGACGUGCACUAGACCUCCCUGCCCUUAUUGAAUGCACCUGUCUAAAUUAAUCUUGGGUUUCUUAUCAACAGAUGGAGAUUAAGAGUCAUGUCUUCUUCUCCCUAAUUAACUGGGAUGAUCUCAUUAAUAAGAAGAUUACUCCCCCUUUUAACCCAAAUGUGGUGAGUAUCUGUCUCUCUUCUAAGUA